rnacentral:rRNA from 1 species
GACGAACGCUGGCGGCGUGCUUAACACAUGCAAGUCGAACGGAAAGGCCCUGCUUUUGUGGGGUGCUCGAGUGGCGAACGGGUGAGUAACACGUGAGUAACCUGCCCUUGACUUUGGGAUAACUUCAGGAAACUGGGGCUAAUACCGGAUAGGAGCUCCUGCUGCAUGGUGGGGGUUGGAAAGUUUCGGCGGUUGGGGAUGGACUCGCGGCUUAUCAGCUUGUUGGUGGGGUAGUGGCUUACCAAGGCUUUGACGGGUAGCCGGCCCGAGAGGGUGACCGGCCACAUUGGGACUGAGAUACGGCCCGGACUCCUACGGGAGGCAGCAGUGGGGAAUAUUGCACAAUGGGCGGAAGCCUGAUGCAGCAACGCCGCGUGCGGGAUGACGGCCUUCGGGUUGUAAACCGCUUUCGCCCGUGACGAAGCGUGAGUGACGGUAAUGGGUAAAGAAGCACCGGCUAACUACGUGCCAGCAGCCGCGGUGAUACGUAGGGUGCGAGCGUUGUCCGGAUUUAUUGGGCGUAAAGGGCUCGUAGGUGGUUGAUCGCGUCGGAAGUGUAAUCUUGGGGCUUAACCCUGAGCGUGCUUUCGAUACGGGUUGACUUGAGGAAGGUAGGGGAGAAUGGAAUUCCUGGUGGAGCGGUGGAAUGCGCAGAUAUCAGGAGGAACACCAGUGGCGAAGGCGGUUCUCUGGGCCUUUCCUGACGCUGAGGAGCGAAAGCGUGGGGAGCGAACAGGCUUAGAUACCCUGGUAGUCCACGCUGUAAACGGUGGGUACUAGGUGUGGGGUCCAUUCCACGGGUUCCGUGCCGUAGCUAACGCUUUAAGUACCCCGCCUGGGGAGUACGGCCGCAAGGCUAAAACUCAAAGGAAUUGACGGGGCCCCGCACAAGCGGCGGAGCAUGCGGAUUAAUUCGAUGCAACGCGUAGAACCUUACCUGGGUUUGACAUGGAUCGGGAGUGCUCAGAGAUGGGUGUGCCUCUUUUGGGGUCGGUUCACAGGUGGUGCAUGGCUGUCGUCAGCUCGUGUCGUGAGAUGUUGGGUUAAGUCCCGCAACGAGCGCAACCCUUGUUCACUGUUGCCAGCACGUUAUGGUGGGGACUCAGUGGAGACCGCCGGGGUCAACUCGGAGGAAGGUGGGGAUGACGUCAAGUCAUCAUGCCCCUUAUGUCCAGGGCUUCACGCAUGCUACAAUGGCUGGUACAGAGAGUGGCGAGCCUGUGAGGGUGAGCGAAUCUCGGAAAGCCGGUCUCAGUUCGGAUUGGGGUCUGCAACUCGACCUCAUGAAGUCGGAGUCGCUAGUAAUCGCAGAUCAGCAACGCUGCGGUGAAUACGUUCCCGGGGCU